AAUAAAGAUGAAAAAAAACAAGCAAAAAACCCCCCUGCUCCUACUUGGGUCCCCCAGGUGGGGGACGCUGCCUGGCCCAGGCCCUGGGGCCCCGGUCCCUUCCCCUCCCAGCCCCGGGGGCUGGCGCGCACCUGGCUCCCAAGUGCUCACCCGCUCCGCCGCGCACCUCGCCCGCCGCCAGCGCCCCGCCCAGGUCGCUCCUUAUCUGGCGAAGCGAAGGCCUCGCAGCUCCGUCCAAGGCUGGCGGAGGAGAGAGCUCCCUCUUCCGCUCGGACAGCUUGAAAGGAGGGAGGUGGGACUAAGACUGCCUGACUUUCGGGACUUCGGAGGCUUUUCGCCUUCCUUUCCUCCCGACUUCUUCCGGCCUUCUCUGGGUUCUUCUGUUCUUUGGACAACCGGGGAAGCGCGAAGUUGACUUUAAAUCUUUUGAUCAGAUAAGCAAAACGAUCCCUAAAGACGUUUCUUUGCUCCCACGGGCAAAAUAAACUCAUCACUUGGGGAAUUCAACAAAGAGAAACUGGAGUUCAACUUAAUAUAUGAUUCACUUUCCCUACCUUUGAGUGCAGAGUGCCCGGAGAGAAAGUUCAAGGGACCGCAGAGGAACACAAGGGUUCUGAGUCGGAGGUGUUGGGCUGCGGCAACAGAAACUGACUAGGUCUUGCCGGGACCUCCAAGAAUGUCAACUGUCGGCUCCUAGAAAGAUCCGCAAAGCAACCUGUUGCUACGACAGAGCUACGUCAUUUGCUUCUAGAAGUCAUGGAGAGCAAUAACUUGACAGAAUUUUGUUUGUGUCUCCGAGGGAGGAGAGCAAGAUUGGGUUAUUUAUUAAGGUUUUGAAGUCUGGUUUAAGUUGUGUCUUUAACGUAGAGGAUUGAUUAGGAUAAGGUAAGGGUUGGGCAACAGUUUCGGAUGUGGAUAUAACAAGGCGAGGACGUUGAGGCAAGGGUUCAAGAAGUCUUGGGAUGUAAACUGUACUUUGAGCUUUUCUGUUGAAGAAUGGUUGGGUGUUUGAGGAAAGUUACUGAAAUAAACAAUGAAGAUAUUUGCAGCUUUCAUGUCCCUGGGCAAAAGCUUGCGGAAUUACGUUGAUGAAAAAGAGUGAAUAGGUCAUAUAAACGUAGUCACUUAUAGAUCUAUGUGAAUGUAGAUGGCUUCAGUUCUCUCAAUGGUGAACCUGCCUGUGAGAACGUAAUCAACAUUUGUCACUUAGAGUAUUUUAUCCUGGAAAGAAGUUCACUCAGGAAAACACAUUUGCCACACAUUUGUGGCAACAUUUGUUUGUUACAUACAGAAUUCAGAGAGAGAGUGAUCUUAGGAAACAUUUUUUAUGAAGUUAAUGUUGGGUCUUAGAAGACCCAUCCGUUUUUAAAAUUAGAACGUGCUCCCCCCCCCCUUGGGCACCGCAAAAGAAAUACACAUCCUUUUACUUUAUUCUGUUCUUUUUACGUUUCCAGGGACAGACCUCAUUUCCCCUUUCGGAAACAGCUGUAGCCAGGACUACGUUCCGGCUCCUCCACCAAACCUGAGGGUUUUUUCGAAUUGUGCCCCAGCCAGUGAAUUUCCCCCAAACUCCAGAUCAGCCCCAGGAUCAAAGGUGUAACUCACGUAAGGGAGAAGUGUCUUUCCCCAACCAAGCUCCCACUCGUCUGCUCAGGUAACGAGGCGGGAACCUCCCUAAUUCCGAGAUCUGGGGAACUGCGCCUCUUGCCAGUGGGCAGAGAGAUCUUGGAGUCCUGCUCUCAUUGGGUAACAACUCUGCUACUGAGGAAGCCGAUUGGCUGAGCUCUAGCCUAGGUGUGGAGCGAGAGAAAAGAUGAGUGUGGGCUGGUCCACCUCCCUCCCAAGAGCUCUUUCUCUUGGUUAAGAUCGUGCUCCGCUACUCCGCUGUUCACUGCUAACAGGGCCUGCUUCAGCUCUCUAAGUCCUGAACAGGGGAAAGAGUCCGGGAAGGAAGAGGGGUCCGGGGGCGGGGAGGAGAGCCGGGGAUGCGGCUAGAGAGGACUCGGGAGCGGGAGGCCCUGAUCGCGGGAGGAGGCCCCAAGAGCCAGACCCGGCUGCAGAAGGCAGAGUGGGCGGGCGGAAAAGGGGCUCCCGGGUGGCCGGCAGGCCCCGCCUGGAGAUCGCGGCGCGGGACGAGGCGAGGAGACACUAGCCUGGCGUCUGCAGCGCACAGCUCCAGCUGCGCAGGCGCACAGAGGACACAGCGCGUGGGUGGGGAGGAGGGGCCUAGGGCGACUCGGGCACUUUCCAGGGGUGUCAUUCCCAGCAGCUGGGACAGGACCCACGACAAGGACAAUUAGGAAGAAGCCGCGAAUGCAGGCGGAGUGAACAGCCUCGUGGGACAAACCGAUUCUCCAAACGUGCCUCCUGCAUACGUGCAGAAGUUUACCAACCGGAGGAGGGAGACAUCAUGAACUGCAGGACGGGGCAUCUCAAAGCUGACAAAGAUCUCGAUCGGAAAGGGCUUGCAGAGGCAGCCUGCUGUUUUAAGAGUCUCCGUGGAGAGCAGGCGUGCAAGUGUUCCAGGCUGUGCUCGGGAAGGGAUCAGCGUCGCCAACAGUGACUACUUCUAUGCGGUUUGACAGAGGAAUAUACGAUGUAUAUAAAGGUUUCUACAUCUCUGCAGUUAUCACCAGAGAAUUAGUAUCUGGCUGAUUUUUUUUUUCGUUGUGGAUUCUCAAGCAGCAAACAUUUCCGUGACAAGUACAAGGAGUAAAGAACACUAGGGUUGAAAUUGCUGAAAACUCUGAGCUAUCCUGGUGGCUUCCAAACACUGAACAGCAUCCUGCCAUUCGAUCUGACUUAUUAAUAUCUGAUAGGCUUUUGAGACAUUGCCUGAAAAUUAACACACGGAUCUCAGAAACCUAUAAAGAAGAGUGAAGUCAUCCUUUUUGGAAUAAACACAGGUAUUGUUGAAGCCACUACAUGUACAGUGAGAAGAACUAUGAUGGUAAUAAAUACAACUGAGUCCACUGAGAAUG